UUUGGCUCUCCACCAGUUCGCAGCUUCCGCCAGCUCUGAGAGUGACUUUGGGUUUCCAGGUCAGCGGAUCGGUUCCUAGGUUUUGGGAUGGUCGACUUGCAACAGAAGACAACUUGUACUGAAGCUCUGUACCCAAGUCAUUCCUCACCCACAAGUCAGAGCCCCAGGACUUUUUAAUACCCCAUCAAUCUUCGAGGCAUCUCUUCCAGGUCAACUUGCUCUAACUUUGGGCAAGCAUAGAGCAGGACACUGGGACAGGAAAGUACAGACAUCAGAAGUGACGAAAGCAAGAGUGGUGCCUUGCAUAGGGAAUGCACAAUAAUCUCUGGGCA